UCCUGGGGGCUAUGCAAACACUAUCGCCAGGCUCACUACGCACACCUACUCAAACAGUACUGUGUAUUUGCCACCUAGCUUUGAUAGAGGUGCGUUGUACACAACUAAGUCAAGAUCAAGAGAUCUUAGAUCGGGUAAAAGGACAUUUUUCACCGUCACAUACUUUCGAGUUUCUGUCGGUAUCUGUAACCGUGUAGGGUAAAGAUGAGGGGAUCCCUGACGCUUUUGCUCCUGUUGGUUACCUUGGUCGUGACACUGGACGACGGCGACGCUCAUGCGCUUAACUGCCAAUGCGCCCCUUCCUGCCACUGCCGAAGAGAGAACCGUGAUACCAGCCACGCCGAGGCAGAGCGGGAGCAGCGAGACCUGGCAGCAGAUGCUCUCCUUGCGAAUGAUAAUGCAGAGAAGAGGGCUGAAGAUCUGUCCCUCUACAAGCUUGGGAAAGCACCCUGAUCCACACCGAAGUCAGCGGCUAAAGAGUGAUUGCUGCUGUUGAGCCGCGUUUGCUGUGACGACUAAAGGAUUGUGAGACGACACCCAGUGCUGCACAUGCUUCGUGGCGUAAGGCCACAGAAAAGUAAAUUUUAUGGAUGACAUUUUUAUCAGACUGCAAAAAUAGUGAGAUAGGGAGACAACAAAAAUUGGGUACAAAAAUAAGAAGGCUACAUUUUCAAAAUAGACGACAUAAACGUUGUAACAAGAAUUAAAGGGACAAAACAUCGUAGCACAGCCAACAAGGCAUACAUUCCUGUAUUCAAGGCGUGCACUGGUGUAGUAAAAGUGACACUAUCGUGGUAGACUGUUAUUACUAAAGUAACUAAGUAGGUAACUUAGAGUGAUACUCAUUGCUUUCAUAUCAGUGCAACUUUUACAAUAAUCCAUCUAGUUUCAGUUCUACAACUACAGACCUCGGUACGCCCGAAGUGUCACUUCUGUAAUUACAAUCAUUCGGCUACAAGUGUCGCUAUCACCAGAAGCUCCGAGUAUGUUUGUAGUCAGAGGUGUUUGCGUUUGAAGUGUCCCACUUGUAUCAGCUUAGUUCAGCUUUUAUACGUUGUAUGUCGGCCACAACAUUGCAUAUUUGUUUAGUAAUGCUUGCUUGUAAUUUGUCGAUAUGUUGACCAUCUCCAAAGAAGAAAAAAUGCUUGUUUUUUUCUGAAAUCAGGCGGAUGUCAUCCAUUAAAUUUACUUUCUGUAAACUAGCUCAAAGUGUCGGUAUUGCCAGAAGCUCCGAGUAUGUUUGUAGUCAGAGGUGUUUGCGUUUGAAGUGUACCACUUGUAUCAGCUUAGUUCAGCUUUUAUACGUUUGUCAGUGUGUACACAUUUUCUUAAAUAUCAGAUGUGACAAUUUCAUAUUUGGUACUUUCACAACCCAAAAAAUACCAACAUCAUCUUUUUAAAUCCAAGGCACAGGUUUUAAAUACGUAAUUGAGAGAACAACGUGUAAAAAAGAGUAAAAUAAGUAAAAUGUCAAUGGUAAUACAAAAAGCUCAUGUUAUGUGAACGAAUUGAACAUUAGGCACCAAUAUUGCAGUAAAUCUCAGAGCAGUUUGGAUCAAAUAAGCGCUAAGUGGUCACGUAAGAAAAGUUGCCUAAAAACUUUAUUCUAACAGGCCAGAUAAGUGAUCUUAAUUGCUGGGUGUGAAGUCUGAAUAAAAGCGGUCGCUACCGAGUCAAA